rnacentral:rRNA from 1 species
AUUGAACGCUGGCGGCAGGCCUAACACAUGCAAGUCGAACGAGUGGCGGACGGGUGAGUAAUGUUUGGGAAACUGCCUGAUGGAGGGGGAUAACUACUGGAAACGGUAGCUAAUACCGCAUACCAUCGGAUGUGCCCAGAUGGGAUUAGCUCGUAGGUGGGGUAAAGGCUCACCUAGGCGACGAUCCCUAGCUGGUCUGAGAGGAUGACCAGCCACACUGGUACUGAGCCACGGUCCGGACUCCUACGGGAGGCAUCAGUGGGGAGUAUUGCACAUUGGGCGCAAGCCGGAUGCAGCCAUGCCGCGUGUAUGAAGAAGGCCUUCGUGUUGUAAGGUACUUUCUGCUGUGGUGCGUUACCCGCAGAAGAAGCGCCGGCUAACUCCGUGCCAGCAGCCGCGAUAAUGC